rnacentral:lncRNA from 1 species
AUUGCCUCAAAUUGUCUUCUUCAGUCGUGUUGAUCCCAGAUGCUGGCUCUCCCUCAACAGAAUUGAUCCAGGGAGUACAGUUGAAACUAUCAUCAAGUCCACCCAAUCCUCCAAACACAUUGCUUUGUGGAUUAUCAGCUUGGGUCGCAGUAUGCCCGGUGCAGUCAAUCGGUAAGGCUGACGUAGAAGCAGUAUAUAUGACCUCAUUUUCAGCCCCUUGCAUGGUGGUACCCACAGCUACUGGUUCUGGUACAUCAUCAACGCUUUGUAGGACGAAUGGCUCCCACAAUCUUUCGUCCCAUUCUAAGAUACUCAGUUCUUCGCUUGCAAAUGACGGUACAAAAUCGACACAGGAUGUGAGCAAUUCUUGUCCCAAAUUUUCGUCUUGCACUUGAGCUGCUAAUGGUGGACUGUUAUCGAUCCAUGGCUUGAGGCUUUGUGUCACUGGCAGUUCAGCAACGAAUGCAUAAUUUUCUAGUGGUUGUGGUUGUGGAUGUGGUGGUGGCAGAUUAUCAAUGCAUGGUAGCAUGCGUUGUCUUUUCUCUUGUGUCUGGAGGCACAAUACUUGUCUUCUGUCCUCCUCCUCUGGUUCUUUUCUUUUCUUUUCGGGUUCCUCCUUUUUCCUGAGUAGACAUAGAACAUAUUUCUUUGCCUGCGAAUUGGAUAAACAUUUUGGUUCAAUAAUAUAUCAAAUCCAGAAAUUAAUCAAUACUGAAAAAAAGAGAGAACAAAUAUAGAUACAUGUUGGAUGUUCUGCAAACAUAUCAAACCAGAUGAAUAUAAUGACUUUUAUAUUCCAUAAACGAUGAGAUUUAAAUCCCUGAACGUUCAAAUCUUCAUGAUUGUAAAUGCAUGAAAUUUUUCUCCAAAGAAUAACAUAACAAAAACGAAGCAGUGAAAUAAAUCCAAAGAAAAUAUAACAUAAUUCUUGGCAUGAACACAAAGAUAGAAUAAGAAUAAAAGAAACAACAUAUACUUACUUGUCUGUUGUGUAUCAGGGAUUGACCAAGUUCGAAUUCAUUCAUGAGCCACUUGCCAUGCUCUGCAGACCCCUUAUUCUCAUAGCGAAACCUCUUUUUGAUUCCUAUAACAUGGUCAGUUCCCGGAGCACAUAUUUUUUUGCCCCCAUCUUCGCCUUUCCAGGUGCCGCUCCCAACAGUUCGGGAUACACGCGAGCCAUUUGUGGUCUUUGUCUGAAGCUCAGUGAAGAGGUAGAGGUCGUUGCUCAUCUUCAAAUCGUUUUGUCUUGUUGUUUGGAAGUGAUCCCAUAUCUUCCGAGGUUGGUCACUGUAUAGAUUGAAGUCAAAAACGACGUGGUUUUCCCCGGGUACCUCCUCAGCGUUUACCUUAGGGCGAAGGUAGUAGAGAAGGAGUUCUUGUUCCGAGGGGCAAAAGUGGUAGCCUGGAGGCACACGAUCAUAAGCAUAACCAUCCUCAGCCAUAUUGGAAUCAAGAAGUUGCUUAUUUCUUAGGGUUUCCUGGUUUGAUAUCUUGUUGAUAGAAGAAAGUAUAUAAGAAAGGGCGUGGACGUGAAAGUAUAAGUUUCAGGUUUUAGAAACUAAUAACUUGGAGAGUGAGUAAGGGUGAACAAGUAGGGUUUGCUUUUCUUAUGGGAGGCGAAGUGGGAUUUAUACAACUUAUUAGUCGGGGAUCAAAUGCUAUGUAAGAGAUAAUCUUUAUCUGUGGCCAAAAAAAAAAAAAAAAAGAAAAAGAAAAAGAAAAAAGGAUUAGCAUUUAUCUCUUACAUAAUCUUUAUCUCUUACAUGUGUAUGUAAGAGAUAAAAUGCAAAUCUUUUUAAAUGAGUAUUAUCAUGUUUAUUAAAAUCACGAUUAUUACAUAUAGAAUGAGGGAUGUUCUCUAGGUUUAUUUAAUCCAAAAAUACAGAUUACAAAAGGCUUAUGUCUUGUUGAUAAGGAGAUUGAAGAGAAGGAUGGAAAAUAAAUGAAUAUUGAGUAGUUUGGUAUCUGAUAUGUGCUUGAGGAAAUCUAAGUAAAAAAACUAAAUCGAAGUGAAGUUGGUGUUGGGUUCAAGUCUGGGGUCUAUUGAGUCUGGGGGGUUGGGAUCUGAGUGGGGGAGGAUGCGAUGGGCGUGGAUGUGGCUAAGGGAUGGGGUUUGAUGUCAAAGCCUUUUGAGCUAUAAAAAAACCGUAUAUACCGUUCUUGUAUCCCUCACAUGCCGUUCACAUGACAAAAAUUUACAUAAAGUAGUGUAACGGUGGGACCAAUUCGUCAAAUAAUAAAGAGGUUGUGGACCAUUUGAAUGAAUAAUUUAGUUGAGAAACCAAAAUGCAUAUCAUGUGUAAGUUUGGAAAUCAAUUGAGUUAAAAACCCUAAACUUAAUAUUUAAAAAUAAUAAUUUAUUUAAGCUUUCAUUGUUAUAUAAAAUUCCUUUGGAAUUACUGUACAAAUAUCCUUUAUUUCGAGCAAACUUCUUAGUUAAGUUUAGACAAGGUGUUGGGUUGUAUUCUAGCUAAUUUUCUUUUAGCUUUUCUUGACAACUUUGUAAUAGGGCAUAUAAUGUAUUUCCCAAUCUCAAAGGUAAAUUUUGCAUUACAUUCAUUAGAAUGCAUUAGAUUAUGACUAGUCAUCUUCUGUGCAUCAUGAGGUCUGCCAGCUCAUUUGCGUUUCUAGUUGGGUCCUAAAGAAUUUUGUCUUAUUAUCUUUAAUUCUUUGACUGCGAAGUUUCCAUUCCUGACGUAGGAAUUUUGGGUAAAAGAGCCCUACCGUGUCUUGGCAGCCGUCACAUAGAGCAUCUCCACCCAUAAGGGCUAAGGCAAGGGCAAGGGCAAGCAAGGGCUGCCACUAUUCACGUGAAUAGUGACAGCCUUGCCUUUUUUGGUUCCAUCCCAAAAGGCUAGGGCAAGGGCAAGAAAAAAAAAAGAAUAUGCAACAAAAUAUAAACUUGUUAUGUAUUUAUAGGGAAAGUGAAUAAAAUUGUUAUGUAUUUAUAGGGAAAACAUCUAUAAUUUUUUAGUAUUUUUUAUAUAAAAAAUUGAAUUUUUUUGGAUUUUUUUGAAUUUAUUUUUGCUCGCUGACGUCAGCGUGACAUCACCGCUGACAUCAGCACUUUCGGACUGAAGCCCAGGCAAGAUCUGCUCUUGGGCUUGCCCAGGCUGGUGGGACCCAGGCCUUGCCUGGGUUGUUGGUUGCGCGCUGGAGGUCAUUUGGGCUCACAAAGGCAGCCUUUUGCCUGAUUUUGUAUGUGCGCUGGACUUGCUCUUAGAGAGAGAGAGAGAGGCUUUUGAGAGGUUUCUAUUUUCCUCUGCAUUAUUUUUCCUCUCUGAGUGAACUUUGCAUCUUUCAAAAAUGAGUUUUCAAAUUGAUUUUGAAAGCUACUUCGAAGAUUAAAAUCUGCAUAUAGAGUAGUCAAACACAUACUCAUCUAGAUCUAGGUCAAAUUCUUUAAUCAAUUUCUUCAAUAAUGGUGCCAUUAUGAGAUUAUUCAUCAUCCAAGAUCGCCUCAAAUUGUCUUCUUCAUGAGUCUUGUUGAUCCCAGAUGCUGGCUAUCCCUCAACAGAAUUGAUCCAUGGAGUAUAGUUGAAACCAUCAUGAAGUCCACCCAAUCCUCCAACACAUUGCAGUAUAUAUGACCUCAUUUUCAGCCCCUUGCAUGGUGGCACCCACAAGCUACUGGUUUUGGUACAUCAUCAACGCUUUGUAGGAGGAAUGGCUUCCACACAAACUUUCGUCCCGUUCUGAGAUACUCAGUUCUUCGCUUGCAAAUGACGGUACAAAAUCGACACAAGGUGUGAGCAAUUCUUGUCCCAAAUUUUCUUCUUGCACUUGAGCUGCUAAUGGUGGACUGUUAUCGAUCCAUGGCUGGAGGCUUUGUGGCACUGGCAGUUCAGCUACGAAUGCAUAAUUUUCUGGUGGUUGUGGUUGUGGAUGUGGUGGUGGCACAUUAUCAAUGCAUGGUAGCAUGCGUUGCCUUUUCUCUUGUGUCUCAAGGCACACUACUUGUCUGCUGUCGUCCUCUGGUUCUUUUCUUUACGGGUUCCUCCUUUUUCCCGAGUAGACAUAGAACAUAUUUCUUUGCCUGCGAAUUGGAUAAACAUUUUGGUUCAAUAAUAUAUAAAACCCAGAAAUUAAUCAAUACUGAAAAAAUAAAAAAAAGAACAAAUAUAGAGACUACUUUUAUGUUCCAUAAACGAUGCCAGAUGAAUAUAA